UAUGUGAUCGUCUCUCGCAUAUCAAUAAGCGGAGGAAAAGAAACUAACAAGGAUUCCCCUAGUAACGGCGAGUGAAGCGGGAAGAGCUCAAAUUUGAAAUCUUAAAGGGUUUCCCUUUACGAAUUGUAGUUUAAAGAAGUGUUUUCUGUUGAGGUUUUGGUAAAAGUUCUUUGGAAUAGGACAUCAUAGAGGGUGAGAAUCCCGUAUUUGACCUUUACUUUCAACUUUGUGAUACACUUUCAAAGAGUCGGAUUGUUUGGGAAUGCAGUCCAAAAUGGGUGGUAAAUUUCAUCUAAAGCUAAAUAUUGGCGAGAGACCGAUAGCGAACAAGUACCGUGAGGGAAAGAUGAAAAGAACUUUGAAAAGAGAGUUGAAACAGUACGUGAAAUUGUCAAAAGGGAAGCGUUUGACACCAGUGUUGUUUUUCUGAAAAUCAAUUAAAGAACUGUUUAUGCUAAGUUGUUUAGACUUUAUCAGCUAACUGUUUAGUUUUGAGCUUUUCUUUAAUGCACUUUUCAGUUAACAAGUCAACAUCAAUUUCUUUUGCUGUAAAAAAGCUUGAGGAAGGUGGCUUGAGAUUCGUCUUAAGUGUUUAUAGCCUCUUGCCUAUGCAGUCGGAGAGAUUGAGGUCUGCAGCGUAGAUCCUUCGGGGCUAAAUGCAUUUGUGCUAAGUUAUAACAUUUUAUAGACAACUUGUUGACUAUGAUUUGUCUUGUAGCUUACUCGCUUAUGUUAUUUUACCUACGCUUAGGAUGUUGAAGUCAUCGUAUCGCGC
rnacentral:rRNA from 1 species